UGUCGUUUGUCGUAGAAUUAUUUAGUUUUGGACCUACACGUUUGUUAAUCAGUAACACACACAGCAAUUUCGGUUUUAUUUUGUGCUAAAUUCAUUAUUGGCUUUUCAGUUUCCGGUAGCAAUCUGGCAACGACUCACUGUGGCCCUGUUGGCAAGAACGCGGACUCACUAAUUAUUGGACAUGUCAAACUCGUUUCACAUGAACUUGACGGGCAUGCAAAAGAAGCUGGCCCUGAGGUCAUUGCAUCUCCCCUUGAAGGACUCAACGCAGCUCUACUCGAUGCUCAAGAGCCCCAAUGGCAAACUAUGCAAUCUAUCGGCACAAUCUAUAGAGGCCGACAACAAGCAUAAAAAGCUAACGGCCAACACGUAUCGGGACUUCAGAUCGCUGCCAAACAAGAACAGGCCGCUGGAUCACAGCCAGCCCAAGACCAAUACUCAGGUUUUGAAGUCAUGCCUGAAGCAGCCAAAUGGACCGAAGCGUCGCAAGGUCGUUCGCUUCAGCUGUGACGUUUAAUGCUGCAAUGCAACAAAACACAACAAAACAACAACAACAACAACAUUAACAACAACAAAACAACAAAAACCAAAAAAAAAAAAUUGAAUAGUGAGCGAAUGUCUGGAACUGCCUGUUGACGCAUGACCAGAUCAGCUAAUUUGAAACUUGAUUUUUAUGCAAAAUUUUAUAUCCUAAAACACUGUCGGAUGGUCGACCUGACGCUUGCGCUUUCCGGUGAUCAUCAAGAGAUCCUCUGGCCGCAACACCAUAUAUAUGUGUGUAUGUAUAUAUGUAUAAGGCUCUUCAUCUCGUUCGCCUUAAACUGAUUGCCCUCUGAUGUCAGCCCCUUUUCAAUUUAAUAUGCCAU
rnacentral:misc_RNA from 1 species